rnacentral:rRNA from 1 species
CCCGGGCCUUGUACACACCGCCCGUCACACCACGAGAGUUUGUAACACCCGAAGUCGGUGAGGUAACCGUAAGAGCCAGCCGCCUAAGGUGGGAUAGAUGAUUGGGGUGAAGUCGUAACAAGGUAGCCGUAUCGGAAGGGGCGGCUGGAUCACCUCCUUU